CCCUUAGAUGUUCUGGGCCGCACGCGCGCUACACUGAUGCAUUCAACGAGCCUAUCCUUGACCGACAGGUCCGGGUAAUCUUUGAAUCUGCAUCGUGACGGGGAUAGAUUAUUGCAAUUAUUAAUCUUCAACGAGGAAUGCCUAGUAGGCGCAAGUCAUCAGCUUGCGUCGAUUACGUCCGUGCCCUUUGUACACACCGCCCGUCGCUCCUACCGAUUGGGUGUGCUGGUGAAAUGUUCGGAUCGGCCGUUUGUCGCGGUUUCCGCGUCAUGUGGCUGAGAAGUUCAUUAAACCCUCCCACCUAGAGGAAGGAGAAGUCGUAACA
rnacentral:rRNA from 1 species